GAUGAACGCUAGCGGCAGGCUUAAUACAUGCAAGUCGAACGGCAGCACAGCAGAGCUUGCUCUGUGGGUGGCGAGUGGCGGACGGGUGAGGAAUACAUGGGAAUCUGCCCAGUCGUGGGGGAUAACGUAUGGAAACGUACGCUAAUACCGCAUGCGCCCUACGGGGGAAAGCCGGGGGCCGAAAGGCCUGGCGCGAUUGGAUGAGCCCAUGUUCGAUUAGCUAGUUGGCGGGGUAAAGGCCCACCAAGGCGACGAUCGAUAGCUGGUCUGAGAGGAUGAUCAGCCACACUGGAACUGAGACACGGUCCAGACUCCUACGGGAGGCAGCAGUAGGGAAUAUUGGACAAUGGGGGCAACCCUGAUCCAGCCAUGCCGCGUGAGUGAAGAAGGCCCUCGGGUUGUAAAGCUCUUUUGUCCGGAAGAAAAGCAUUCGGUUAAUACCCGGGUGUUCUGACGGUACCGGAAGAAUAAGCACCGGCUAACUUCGUGCCAGC
rnacentral:rRNA from 1 species